CACGUAGGGUGCGAGCGUUGUCCGGAAUUAUUGGGCGUAAAGAGCUCGUAGGCGGUCCGUCACGUCGGAUGUGAAAUUCCAGGGCUCAACCCUGGACCUGCAUUCGAUACGGGCGGACUAGAGUUCGGUAGGGGAGACUGGAAUUCCUGGUGUAGCGGUGAAAUGCGCAGAUAUCAGGAGGAACACCGGUGGCGAAGGCGGGUCUCUGGGCCGGUACCGACGCUGAGGAGCGAAAGCGUGGGGAGCGAACAGG
rnacentral:rRNA from 1 species